CAGUCGCCGCGGUAAUACGAAGGGGGCUAGCGUUGCUCGGAAUUACUGGGGGUAAAGGGCGCGUAGGCGGACAGUUAAGUUGGGGGUGAAAGCCCGGGGCUCAACCUCGGAAUUGCCUUCAAUACUGGCUGUCUUGAGUACGGGAGAGGUGUGUGGAACUCCGAGUGUAGAGGUGAAAUUCGUAGAUAUUCGGAAGAACACCAGUGGCGAAGGCGACACACUGGCCCGUUACUGACGCUGAGGCGCGAAAGCGUGGGGAGCAAACAGGAUUAGAUACCCCGGUAGUCCCUGUCUCUUAUAC
rnacentral:rRNA from 1 species